CGAGGUAAUGUGUGAUAUGUUUCCAGGUAAUGUCGUGUGAUAUGUUUCCAGGUAAUGUCGUGUGAUAUGUUUUCAGGUAAUGUGGUGUGAUAUGUUUCCAGGUAAUGUUGUGUGAUUUGUUUCCAGGUAAUAUUGUGUGAUAUGUUUCCC